CACAGACAACCAGGAUGUUGGCUUAGAAGCAGCCACUCAUUCAAAGAGUGCGUAAUAGCUCACUGGUCGAGUGAUCCUGCGCCGAAGAUUUCCGGGGCUAAAACUUACUACCGAAGCUACGGCAUCAGUAAUGAUGGGUAGGGGAGCUUCCCAUAUGGGUUGAAGCAUGACCGUAAGGACAUGUGGACAGUAUGGGAGUGAGAAUGUUGGCAUGAGUAGCGAGAUGUGGGUGAGAAUCCCACAGGCCGUAAACCCAAGGUUUCCAGGGGAAGGUUCGUCCGCCCUGGGUGAGUCGGGACCUAAGCUGAGGCCGAAAGGCGUAGGUGAUGGACAACAGGUUGAUAUUCCUGUACUACCGAUAACCGUUUGAGAGAAGGGAUGACACAGUAGGAUAAGCUAAGCACACUGUUGGUUAUGUGUGCCCAAGCAUUGAGGCAGUCAAAGCAGGCAAAUCCGCUUUGAUAAUGCUGGGAUGUGAUGGGGAGCGAAAUUUAGUAGCGAAGUAGCUGAUUUCACACUGUCAAGAAAAGUCUCUAUCGAGGUUAAAGGUACCCGUACCGCAAACCGACACAGGUGGGUGAGGAGAGUAUCCUAAGGCCAGCGAGAGAACUGUUGUUAAGGAACUCGGCAAAAUGACCCCGUAACUUAGGGAUAAGGGGUGCCACCAUCAGGUGGCCGCAGAGAAUAGGCCCAAGCGACUGUUUACCAAAAACAUAGGUUUCUGCUAAGUCGCAAGACGAUGUAUAGGAGCUGACGCCUGCCCGGUGCUGGAAGGUUAAGGGGAUCUGUUAGAGCAAUCGAAGCAGUGAACUUAAGCCCCAGUAAACGGCGGCCGUAACUAUAACGGUCCUAAGGUAGCGAAAUUCCUUGUCGGGUAAGUUCCGACCCGCACGAAAGGCGUAACGAUUUGGGCACUGUCUCA
rnacentral:rRNA from 1 species